CCGACAGCGCAAGGCCUGUGGACCUGCCUCUUUUCCGCUGUGCCACCAGCCAGCAGUGUCACCAAGUGGAAGCAGCAUGGGUCUGGAGCUGGGCUGACACACCAGCCAGAUCUGGGCCCUGUGUCUACUAGUUUGUGAUCCCGGCCACCAAUGAUGGAAGCAGAUUGCUGGCCACAACAGGGAACACAGAACACUGGUAGAAGCAGCAACACAGCUUGAAAAAUAAUGAGCAGAUAAUGUUCUAGGAUCAAGGACAUCGGAGGAAAGAAGGUGGGAGGAAAGGAAGAAUGAGAGAAGAAAGAGGGAGAAAGAAAAGAGGAUUAUAAUUUUUUCCUUUCUUUGGCUCAUGACUCCCCCUGUGGACUGAUGGUGCAAAGCAGCAAGUCCCUUUAUCCAAGAGAAGUCCUUGGGGCUCUGCAGGUGACAUCAACUUCCCACACCUCUGAUUUGUACCUGCCAACAUGAAACAGAAGUGGAGAGGCUGGAGAAGUGGGAAGAAGCUGGGGAAAGGGGAAAUGAGAAAGAUCUGGUUGCAGUAUCAGCACCGUGCUCUCUGGCUCAGAAGUGUCUUCUAAUAGUAAAAUUCUAUUUUAUUUAUAUAACAACUUUUCUCGUCAUAAGCCAUCCUCGACUGAAGGACUAUCAAUGAAAAUUUAACCAAGUUGCAUUUUUUGUAACAUGAGGUUGCACACAGUGUUCUUUUUUAGAAAGCAUCUAGGCCUGCCUUCUCCCUAAAGAAAAAAGAACAUAAUGAGACUGCCUUGUUUAUUGAGAUUGCUAAAAUAUAAUAAUAAAUUGAUAUUAUGAGUCCCAUUUUAGUGUGUCUGAGUGAGAAUCUGUUGAAGCAGAUGAGACAUUAUAGGAAAAAAAGCUUAGAAAGUAAAAUUAGAUUUUUCAUACAUGGAAGAGCAGCUGCUCAGACAGCGGGAAAAUCCUCAGAAGUCAUUUAUCAGGCGUCAAUGUGGCGAACAAUAAAGACAACUCUUCCUUCAGAUGAAAGAACAGUCCAGAACAUCUCUGUCACUGCAGACAGCAGCACAUUAUAUUCCAGAUAUUGGAACUAUUGAGUGGUCAAAGGUCUGUAUUCAGAAUGUACA